rnacentral:rRNA from 1 species
AUUGAACGCUGGCGGCAUGCCUUACACAUGCAAGCCGAACGGCAGCACGGGAGCAAUCCUGGCGGCGAGUGGCGAACGGGUGAGUAAAGUAUCGGAACGUGCCCAGUCGUGGGGGAUAACGUAGCGAAAGUUACGCUAAUACCGCAUACGAUCUAUGGAUGAAAGCGGGGGAUCGCAAGACCUCGCGCGAUUGGAGCGGCCGAUAUCAGAUUAGGUAGUUGGUGGGGUAAAGGCUCACCAAGCCGACGAUCUGUAGCUGGUCUGAGAGGACGACCAGCCACACUGGGACUGAGACACGGCCCAGACUCCUACGGGAGGCAGCAGUGGGGAAUUUUGGACAAUGGGCGAAAGCCUGAUCCAGCCAUGCCGCGUGCAGGAUGAAGGCCUUCGGGUUGUAAACUGCUUUUGUACGGAACGAAAAGGUUUGGCCUAAUAAGCUGAGCUCAUGACGGUACCGUAAGAAUAAGCACCGGCUAACUACGUGCCAGCCGCCGCAGUAA